UGCUAAACCCAAUUCCGAUUU
rnacentral:misc_RNA from 1 species